rnacentral:misc_RNA from 1 species
GAUGAAGAACGGAGCGAAAUGCGAAAAGUAGUGUGAAUUGCAGAAUUCAGUGAAUCAUCGAAUCUUUGAACGCACAUUGCGCCCCUUGGUAUUCCAUGGGGCAUGCCUGUUCGAGCGUCAUUUGUACCCUCAAGCUCUGCUUUGUGUUGGGUGUUUGUCUCGCCUCUGCGCGUAGACUCGCCUCAAAACAAUUGGCAGCCGGCGUAUUGAUUUCGGAGCGCAGUACAUCUCGCGCUUUGCACUCAUAACGACGACGUCCAAAAGUACAUUUUUACACUCUUGACCUCGGAUCAGGUAGGGAUACCCGCUGAACUUAAGCAUAUCAAUAAGCGGAGGA